GAUGAACGCUGGCGGCGUGCCUAAUACAUGCAAGUCGAGCGAACAGAUGAGGAGCUUGCUCCUCUGACGUUAGCGGCGGACGGGUGAGUAACACGUGGAUAACCUACCUAUAAGACUUGGAUAACUUCGGGAAACCGGAGCUAAUACCGGAUAAUAUAUUGAACCGCAUGGUUCAAUAGUGAAAGACGGUUUUGCUGUCACUUAUAGAUGGAUCCGCGCCGCAUUAGCUAGUUGGUAAGGUAACGGCUUACCAAGGCAACGAUGCGUAGCCGACCUGAGAGGGUGAUCGGCCACACUGGAACUGAGACACGGUCCAGACUCCUACGGGAGGCAGCAGUAGGGAAUCUUGCGCAAUGGGCGAAAGCCUGACGGAGCAACGCCGCAUGAGUGAUGAAGGUCUUCGGAUCGUAAAACUCUGUUAUUAGGGAAGAACAAAUGUGUAAGUAACUAUGCACGUCUUGACGGUACCUAAUCAGAAAGCCACGGCUAACUACGUG
rnacentral:rRNA from 1 species